GGCGGUAAUGACGUUCAGUUACAGUAGGGCGCAGAGCUGCGCCUGCGCAAUAUACGGUCCGCCUUUGUGAUUUCCAAGACAGGGAAAAAAACAGCUGGAUGUCUGUUAGCUCCUCUGUCAGCUCCUCGGCUAACCCACCUGGCUAACCUCAUCCUCCGCUCUCCUCAGGUAGGAUUACUACCGUAUACCUACUAGACUCAGACCGUAGCCUGGUGACUGGGACCUGGUUACUGUCGGUGAGACCCGAGCUGUUGGAAACUGGUGUUUGAGCUGCUAACAGGCUACUGGAGAGCUAGCCGUCUUGUUGUCACUCGGUUCAGCUGUAGAGUUUAUAUCUCUAGGCUGGCGGCGGGUCCCCCAAAGGGAGACCCCCCCCAAACCCGGGAGACCCCCCCCCCCCCAACGGGAGAGACAGUCACUAGUAGUGUUACUAGUAAGCCUGACUAGUAAUUUUCUAGUCGUAGAACUAUCUAUUUACUAAGCAGAAUCUAAAGCGACCUACAGUGAAUACAGAGACAGGUCAGUAAGGAGCAGGUAGGGGUUAGACAGUACAGAGACAGGUCGCUAAGGAGCAGGUAGGGGUUAGACAGUACAUAGACGGGUCAUUAAGGAGCAGGUAAGGGUUAGACAGUACAGAGACAGGUCAUUAAGGAGCAGGUAGGGGUUAGACAGUACAGAGACAGGUCAUUAAGGAGCAGGUAGGGGUUAGCCAGUACAGAUACAGGACGUUAAGGAGCAGGUAGGGGUUAGCCAGUACAGAGACAGGUCAUUAAGGAGCAGGUAGGGGGGUUCUUUCCAGGUAUAGGUGUGGUUUCCAGGUGUGUAGCAACCAAUAACGUAAUAACUGCCAAUAACUUAAUCAUUAUAAUUUAAUAAAGCCAAUAACGUAAUAACUUGCAAAUAAUGAAAUAAAGUUGUUGAGCCAAGAAUGUACUAACUUAUUAAGUUAUUUGCUGGUUAUUUUGUUACUGGCCUUGUAAGAAAAAAAUCAUUUUUUCUUGAAGUUCUGCGUUGCAGUUUUCAGUAUGGCAUAAUAAUAUAAUUCAUAAGUAUUAUAUGUCUGCAGCUCCCCAUUUCAAUAUUAUCAAAUCAUACUGCUUUAUUCACCAAUAAUCAUAAACUGAUUUAAUGCACAUGUUUAUCCACACAUGCACAACCAUGCAGUUCUUGAACUAAAGAAAUCUAGAGCAUAAUCAGACAAACAUUCAAGUUAUGAUUAUUGGUGAAUAAAGCAGUAUGUUUAUUUACAUUAUUGGCUUUAUUUUAUUUAAACAAUUACAUUGUUGGCAGUUAUUACGUUAUUGGCCGUUAUUAUGUUAUUGAUUGCUACAAGGUGUUUCCAGGUAGAUGUAUAGUUGUGGUUUCCAGGUAGAUGUAUUGUUGGGUUCCAGGUGUUUCCAGGUAGAUGUAUUAUUUGGUUCCAGGUAGGGCUGGGUGAUAUGGGCCAAAAUGAAUAUCUCGAUAUUUUUUUUACUAUAUCUCGAUACACUAUAUAUCACGAUAUAUUUUGAAUCUCCUCUAGAGCACAUCAUAAAUGCUCGAUUCAACCAUGUCUGGCAUAAUGUUACGUCAGUAAUAAUUCUAGUAUUCCUGAAAUAUAAGUCUGCAUGUAGAUUACAUGAAACAACAUAUUGUUUAAACUCAUUAGUGCUUUGUAUUGGAACAAUUUAGAACUUGCACAUAAGAAAAGGAAAAUCACAGCAAGUUAGAUUUACCAACACAGCAUUUAUUCAAACCGUUAAUUAUUUAUUAACUGUUAAUAAUACACUGCCAGACGACGGAUCCAAUGCUAUUCUUUUUCAAAAC
ensembl:lncRNA